rnacentral:lncRNA from 1 species
GAUCUCUGUAGAAAUCUCAUUGUCGAGGAAGCUCGGAUAUCGACGGAGUCCGGAAGGAGUUCGGAGAAUAGUUGGUCACUGUAGAAGGUCAGCUGACAAUGAGACCUAGAGAGCCUUUAGAGCAGCACGGUAGAUGGAUAGAGAAGCUCAUUGUCGGAGAAGUCCGGAAGCUCGGACGGUCGGGGUUUUCAGAGAGACGCCACA